rnacentral:rRNA from 1 species
AUUGAACGCUGGCGGCAGGCCUAACACAUGCAAGUCGAGCGGAUGAAGGGAGCUUGCUCCUGGAUUCAGCGGCGGACGGGUGAGUAAUGCCUAGGAAUCUGCCUGGUAGUGGGGGAUAACGUCCGGAAACGGGCGCUAAUACCGCAUACGUCCUGAGGGAGAAAGUGGGGGAUCUUCGGACCUCACGCUAUCAGAUGAGCCUAGGUCGGAUUAGCUAGUUGGUGGGGUAAAGGCCUACCAAGGCGACGAUCCGUAACUGGUCUGAGAGGAUGAUCAGGCACCCUGGAACGUGAACACGGUCCAGACUCCUACGGGAGGCAGCAGUGGGGAAUAUUGGACAAUGGGCGAAAGCCUGAUCCAGCGAUGCCGCGUGUGUGAAGAAAGUCUUCGGAUUGUAAAGCACUUUAAGUUGGGAGAAAGGGCAGUAAGUUGAUACCUUGCUGUUUUGACGGUACCAACAGAAUAAGCACCGGCUAACUACGUG